UACGUAGGCGGAAUAUUAAGUCAGUGGUGAAAUCCUGCGGCUCAACCGUAGAACUGCCAUUGAUACUGAUAUUCUUGAAUGUAGUUGAGGUAGGCGGAAUGUGUAAUGUAGCGGUGAAAUGCUUAGAUAUUACACAGAACACCGAUUGCGAAGGCAGCUUACUAAACUAUGAUUGACGCUGAUGUGCGAAAGCGUGGGGAGCGAACAGGAUUAGAUACCCUGGUAGUCC
rnacentral:rRNA from 1 species